CAAUAGCGUAUAUUAAAGUUGUUGCAGUUAAAAGCUCGUAGUUGGAUUUCUGGGAGGGUGCCAAUGUCCGUCGUCGUACGUGUUGCAGCGGCGCCCUUCCAUCCUUCUGUUAACGACUUUGGGCAUUCACUUGCCGGAGUCGGGCUCAGAUAUUUUACCUUGAGAAAAUUAGAGUGUUUCAGGCAGGCUAGGCCGGAAUACAUUAGCAUGGAAUAAUAGAAAAGGACCUCGGUUCUAUUUUGUUGGUUUCCGGAACUUGAGGUAAUGAUUAAGAGGGACAGACGGGGGCAUUCGUAUUACGGUGUUAGAGGUGAAAUUCUUGGAUCGCCGUAAGACGAACUACUGCGAAAGCAUUUGCCAAGAAUGUUUUCAUUAAUCAAGAACGAAAGUCAGAGGUUCGAAGACGAUUAGAUAUCAU
rnacentral:rRNA from 1 species